rnacentral:rRNA from 1 species
CUGCAUGGCUGUCGUCAGCUCGUGUCGUGAGAUGUUGGGUUAAGUCCCGCAACGAGCGCAACCCUUGCCUUUAGUUGCCAGCAGUUCGGGCUGGGCACUCUAAAGGGACUGCCGGUGUUAAACCGGAGGAAGGUGGGGAUGACGUCAAGUCCUCAUGGCCUUUAUGACCAGGGCUACACACGUACUACAAUGGCCGAUACAAAGGGCAGCGACACUGCGAGGUGAAGCCAAUCCCGUAAAAUCGGUCUCAGUCCGGAUUGGAGUCUGCAACUCGACUCCAUGAAGUUGGAAUCGCUAGUAAUCGUGGAUCAGCAUGCCACGGUGAAUACGUUCCCGGGCCUU